ensembl:snRNA U6 U6 spliceosomal RNA
AUGCUCACUUCAGCAGCACAUAUACUAAAAUUAGAAUGAUGAAAAGAAAAUUAGCAUAGUCCCUGUGCAAGUAUGACACACAAAUUUGUGAAUAAUUCCAUAUUAAU